rnacentral:lncRNA from 1 species
GCCAAGAGAACAUGUUUUUUUGAUCAUGAAAAGGUUAUUUUCAAAUCAGUUACAGUCCAAAUUAAAUC